AAUACUGGGCGUAAGCGCGCGUAGGCGGCUUAAUAAGCCGGUUGUGAAAGCCCCGGGCUCAACCUGGGAACGGCAUCCGGAACUGUUAAGCUAGAGUGCAGGAGAGGAAGGUAGAAUUCCCGGUGUAGCGGUGAAAUGCGUAGAGAUCGGGAGGAAUACCAGUGGCGAAGGCGGCCUUCUGGACUGACACUGACGCUGAGGUGCGAAAGCGUGGGUAGCAAACAGGAUUAGAUACCCUGGUAGUCCACGCCGUAAACGAUGUCGACCAGCCGUUGGGUGCCUUGAGCACUUUGUGGCGAAGUUAACGCGAUAAGUCGACCGCCUGGGGAGUACGGCCGCAAGGUUAAAACUCAAAUGAAUUGACGGGGGCCCGCACAAGCGGUGGAGCAUGUGGUUUAAUUCGAUGCAACGCGAAGAACCUUACCUACCCUUGACAUCCUGCGAACCCGGAAGAGAUUCCGGGGUGCCUUCGGGAACGCAGAGACAGGUGCUGCAUGGCUGUCGUCAGCUCGUGUUGUGAAAUGUUGGGUUAAGUCCCGUAACGAGCGCAACCCUUGUCCCUAUUUGCCAGCGAUUCGGUCGGGAACUCUAGGGAGACUGCCGGUGACAAACCGGAGGAAGGUGGGGACGACGUCAAGUCAUCAUGGCCCUUACGGGUAGGGCUACACACGUGCUACAAUGGCCGGUACAAAGGGCGGCGAACUCGCGAGAGUCAGCGAAUCCCUUAAAGCCCGGUCUCAGUCCGGAUCGGAGUCUGCAACUCGACUCCGUGAAGUCGGAAUCGCUAGUAAUCGUGGAUCAGAAUGCCACGGUGAAUACGUUCCCGGGCCUUGUACACACCGCCCGUCACACCAUGGGAGUGGACUGCACCAGAAGUGGUUAGCCUAACGCAAGAGGGCGUCA
rnacentral:rRNA from 1 species